CCAAGAAAAGAGUUAGCCGCUUAUUUGCCUUUCGCUUACUCCUAUAAGAGCUAGUGGUUUUUUUUGGUGUGACUACUAUGCUUAACCGCGAAAAACCAAAAUUUACAGUAAUUGAAUUUACACUAAAUUAAUAACUUAUCACAAAUAAUUUAUCAAACUUAAAAGUUAACUUGAGUUCUGAGUUAUAUCCAUUGAUGAUCUAAAUGUCGAUAUUGUUUAGCAUGUUUCCGAACACAGUAAGGAAUGGCGCUCCUGUUGUGGCCAAGUGAAUCAGAAGAUAAGCCUUCUAGUCCCAAGGGUCCCUUGGCAAGGGACACAACCCAAGCUCCGGAGAGCUGCCAACACGCUUCGAUUGACUCGAUUCGUUGCGUAGAGUAAAUUUAAGUUUUUAAAUGUGUAAUAGCUUUUAAUCGCUUCCUUAAAGUUCUAAGACAUAAACUGCCAACCAUUGUGCGAGUAUGUCCCUGUAUUUCUGGCGUCGAGACGCUCGUUCACCUGAUGUGGUAUCGGAAGUUCUUGUCGGCUGCCUCCCCGAUUUUAACGACUAUUUGGGCCUUUAGACUCAAAUAGUUACCAGUUUUCAGAAAGCGGAGCAGUCAACGACAGAAAGUCAGAAAAAACAGCCUUAAGAUUUGAGAUUUGAGUUAAGUUGUAAUGACACCAUUCCUGAAAUCUGUUAAUACCUGACAUCAAGCAAAAACCAGACUCUUUAUUAUUGUAUGAUAAACAAAGCUUAACAUAAUGGGCACACAUUAGUGCAAUAAAGUGAGUUAAGAUAGAGGGAAGAUAAUUUAUAAACUGAUUAAACAGCAAAGGGCCUAUAUGACUGCCUUCAAGCAUUCUAGAUGUCACGUAAAUCAACUUGGAAACAGCGGCUUUAACUGUAACUCUUUAGUAUAAACUGAUUAAACAGCGAAGGACUUAUAUGACUGCCUUCAAGCAUUCUAGAUCAACUUGGAAACAGUGGUUUUAACUGUAACUCUGUGGAAUCCAAUGCUCAAUAAACUUUAUAUCUAAGUUAUUUUAAUAUAAAAGGUUUGCAGAGUGAAAGAAAUCUGAAAUAUAAAGUCUGUCUGCAAUGUUAAGUUAAAUCCAUCAAUUACAAAAGAUGUCAAUCAGAGUAGGUCAGUCGUGGUCGAUCUUCGCUAAAUAAAACCAUGUUGACACGACACAAAUGAGAGAUAAUAAUGCACUUAAAUGUUUUAGAAAUGUCAGAUAAUUUGUAGAUUCCUCUAUAGUUAUAAAUCACUUAAGAGAGAACUUUUUUCAUAUGAAGGAGAAAAAAUACAAUUUGCCCUAUUUAAGUGAUUAUGGUAAAUAGAAUUAUAUAAAGAACAGAGCUAUUAGUAGACUAGAAGAAUUCAGAAAAUAUGUCUGCAAUUUCGGGAUCGGUAAAUCCCUCAAUUAAAAUUUAACCGUACCGAUGAUGGCAGUGCUGAAGACUUUUGCAUAGUAUUAUCAAAGUUAUAAAACUGUCCCGGAUCCUUUGAAAAUUGAAAUAUACAUAUGUUCAAAUACAUAUAAAAGCAAGGACUGUUGAGUACAUUAAAAUUAAUGCGAUGACCCACUCUACUUUUUAUACUUUUUAUAAAAGUUUGUUUUAAGGUUAACUUAAACUUUGGAGAAAGACUAUUAGGAACGCAAUAAUUUAAAGUUUGGGAAGCUGUAUCUUUUUCAACAUCUUAGAAAUUAUAUAAAUUUAUCAAAUUAUAUUGGUAAAUCAUGUUCUUUUCAAUCUAUUUAGCGUCGCUUGUCAACAGCUGUGUUUGUUUUUGUGCUCCGAGUUUUUGUCUUUUUCAGUGAUUUUGUGCGAGUGUUCUGUGUGUAUUUAUUUACAAAGAUUAGCCUAACAAUUGCGCUAGUAAUCUUAAAUAUAACUCCCAGUAAACGAGAACGCGUUAAUAUUUAUUUUACCACUUCUAUUAGAUUUGUUUAACUUCUUAGCUUUGUUUGUGUAACUUACGCUCUCUAAUUUUGCUAAAACUUUUACUCCCUCUCAAUCUCCCACGCUCUAUUUUAUAACUGUGAACCUGCUGAACUUGUGGUAGACUUUUUCGGUGCUAUUUCUGUAACUCUCUUGCUUUAUUUACAUUGUAUUUGUUCGUGCUGAAAGUUGUUAGUACCGCACAAGCCACGCUCAGUCGAUAGAAUAUUUUUUCUCUCGAGUUCUCUUACGUUUAUUUUCGUUUAUUUUCGCGGUCUCGCGCUCUUAUUAUUCCCUUGCAGAGGGUAUAAUAAUUUCAGUCAGAAGUUUGCAACGCAGUGAAGGAGACGAUUCCGACCCCAUAAAGUAUAUAUAUUCUUGAUCAGCAUCACUAGACGAAUCCAUCUAGCCGUGUCCGUCUGUCCGUCCCUUUCUACGCAAACUAGUCUCUCAGUUUUAAAGCAAGUGGGCUGAAACUUUUCCAAAAGUCUUUUUUCUAUUGCAGGUAGUAUAUAAGUCGGAACCAGCCGGAUCAGACAACUAUAUCUUAUAGUUCCGAUACGAACUAUCGGGGAAAAAAUUAAAAAAAAUUAUAUGUUAUGUUUUUUAACAUAUAACCUUCUAAGCUUGGAUAUAACAUUUUUAAAUUAGUUCUGAAUUUCGAAAUUUAUUUUAUCAAAAUCGGACUACUAUAUCAUAUAGCUCCCAUAGGAACAAUCGGAAAAUUAAUUGUAAAAUAAUAUUGAAAAAUUAUAUCUUCGGUGUUUUUUAACUUUUAACCUUCUACGCUUGGAAAUAACAGUUUUUAUUUGGUUUUGAAUUUCGAAUUAAAUUUUAUCAAAAUCGGACGACUAUAUCAUAUAGCUGCCAUAGGAACGAUCGGAAAAUUAGUAGGAAAAUUAUAUCUUUUGUGUUUUUUAACAUAUAACUUUAUAAGCUUAAACAUAACAUUUUUUAAUUAGUUCUAAAUGUCGAAUAAAAUUUUUUUAAAUCGGACGACUAUAUCAUAAAGCUGUCAUAGGAACGAUCGGAUAAUUGGUGGGAAAUAAUGUGAAACAAAUUAUAGCUUUGGGGCUUUUUGACAUAUUAUCUUAUAAUAUAGGGAAUAUACAUUUUUAUAUUUUAAAGAAUUUCGAAUUCAAAUUAAUAAAAUUAUGAAUUAAUUUUUAUAACUGCAAGGGUAUACAAACUUCGGCUUGCCGAAGUUAACUUCCUUUCUUGUUUUUUUUGUGUGUUUGCGCCUUUGUGAUUUUUGAAUUUGAUCCCAGUGCCAAAUUUACUUUGAGGUAUUUUUGAUAUUUUAUUUCAUUUUAUUUUUCUUUUUGUAUUCUUAUAAUGCCCCUUGUCUGUUCUAAGAAAAACAGUACACUUGCGUCUUCAACGUCUUUUUGCUGGCUCUGCGAUUCGAUGAUGCACGUCAAAUGUGAAGGAUUCACCGGCAAUGUAAAAGAUUUUAUAGAUCUUAACUCUGGUCUUAUGUGGUCAUUUGGGUCCUGCAAGGAAAUGGUGGUUGAGAUGAGCGGCUGUAUAAAGCAGACUCGAAACAGCCUAUUGAGUAUCGCUCAAGUCAAUGAGGGGUUCAAUACCGUCUGUGCGAACCAACAGUGCGUAUGGAUACAGCUAGCUCGAGUAAAGUCCAUGUUUCCGUAAUAAAAGCUUCUGUACUGGCUAAGUUAAAGAAAUUGGUGCCGACCAUACCUAUAGGUACAGUAAGCACAGUUCCUGGAUAUCACCCUAGUGAGGUUCAGACUGCUGUUGGGGGGCGUAAGAAACAUUCAGUUGUUCCACAAACUAAAUAUGAAGCUACCCAAACUUUAUGCUGACUUCUCUGCAUUUACUGAAGAUAUUUUAGCUGUUACGGAAACUUGGCUGAAACCACAGUUAUCCGAAUCUGAAGUUCUGUCUAAUAACUUUAAUACCUCUAGGACCGAUAGCCACUCAUGUAGGGGAGGCGGUGUGCUGAUUGCCGUUACCUCUAGCCUAACAUCUGAAAGAAUUCUCAUUCAUAUCCCGAAGGAAAUUAAAUUUCUAAGUGUAAAAGUUUCCUUGCAAUCUUUAUCUGUUUUUGUUACAUGUUCUUAUAUGCCACCUGGCUCUGAUAUAGUAAUUUAUGAGCCCUCUCUGUCUGCAAUAAAAACUGUUUUAUCCCUUCUUUCUAACAGAGACCUUUUGAUUGUUUUAAGUGAUUUUAAUCUACCUGAUAUUUCUUGGUCUCCUCCUACUAACUCAUUUGUCGCUAUGCCUUUAUCCGCCCAUUAUUUUGUGGAUGGCCUUUUAGAAUUAUCGUUACAGCAAACCCGACUAAAAUCACAUUAUGUAGAAUUGAGGCUCUUGUUGUACCUGAAGACCGAUAUCAUCCAACUAUGGAACUGACAAUUGGCUUCCCCUGCUCUGAUACCCUCUCUACUGUAGUUUCUCCAACUAAAAAGAGAUUUUUUCGUAAGUGUGACUACAAUAAUCUUAACGAUAUGAUUUCUUAUUAUAAUUGGACAGACUUGUACAAUUGUAUAGACUUGAAAGUGCCACUGAACUAUUCUAUAUAGUGCACUAUUGGCAAAAAGUCCGAAAUUUUGGCAUUUUUACAAUUUUUUGUUUUGUAUUAAUAAAAAAAACUAUUUCACCUGAUUAAAAAAACCAUCAGGAUCCCAAAUAUAAUUUUUAAACAUUUCUUAACGUUAUUUUUUAGUACUUUUUUUUAACAAAGUCGAGAGAUUGAGAUCUGAUCACACCUUAAAGAAAAAUUUUUU